ensembl:snoRNA
UGCCUCCCUACCUGGGUAGAGUGGCAUUUGGUAUGGUGGUGCUCAUCUCAUUUCAUCCAGGGACAGAGCAACCCUUUGUUCAUCCCACCUUCGCUUUUGUAGCAUGCCUAUGCCUGGUUCAUGCCUAGGACACACGG